UGGGGAAUAUUGGACAAUGGGCGAAAGCCUGAUCCAGCCAUGCCGCGUGUGUGAAGAAGGUCUUCGGAUUGUAAAGCACUUUAAGUUGGGAGGAAGGGCAUUAACCUAAUACGUUAGUGUUUUGACGUUACCGACAGACUAAGCACCGGCUAACUCUGUGCCAGCAGCCGCGGUAAUACAGAGGGUGCAAGCGUUAAUCGGAAUUACUGGGCGUAAAGCGCGCGUAGGUGGUUUGUUAAGUUGGAUGUGAAAUCCCCGGGCUCAACCUGGGAACUGCAUUCAAAACUGACUGACUAGAGUAUGGUAGAGGGUGGUGGAAUUUCCUGUGUAGCGGUGAAAUGCGUAGAUAUAGGAAGGAACACCAGUGGCGAAGGCGACCACCUGGACUAAUACUGACACUGAGGUGCGAAAGCGUGGGGAGCAAACA
rnacentral:rRNA from 1 species